rnacentral:lncRNA from 1 species
UUAUUCUCUUGGAGUGUUAUUUUCUGCGUUAACAUGCAAAGGUUCGGAGUUUAGAUUGCUCUUGGUGGUGAUCUUUGCCUCUGUUUUCUCCAUCAUCUUCAUUGCUUUGAGGUUUGAGAUAUAUUUCUUUUGACAAUUCUGUUGUGUAUUAGUUGCUUCUGGUUCUUGCCUUUCUUUGAAUUUGAAGCCUAAUUGCAACAAAUUUGAGUUGAUAUCUGCAAUUGAUACAUUACAUAUGAGUUGUGUUAUUGCAAGUUUAUGUUGCAACUUGCAAGUGAUGAUUUCAGAGGUGAUUUACUGCAAGUUUCUUGUGCAAUGGAUAUGAUAUGCCACACGAUUCUGGAUAUAUCUUGUGCUGGAUAUUUCAGUUAUCCUUUGGUGUUUUCUUACUUCAGUUUAUAAAGCAUUUACAUGCUUUCACAGUUCUUGUUGUUAUGGAUGUUUGUUGCUCCAUAUGAGGACGCUGCUAUUGAUGCAAGUGUGGUAGAUGGUGUUGUUGUGAUUACACCUACUUGUCUUUGUGUUGCAUUCGUUUCUGCAAUGGUCUUGUUUUGAAGGUUUUACUAUGAGACGAAUAUGAAUUGGAAGCAUAUAUUAGUGAUGGUUCUUUGAAUUUCUAGUUUUUCUUUGUUUGGUGUUUAUGGGCUGAAGACAUAGUUAAUCUCAUGCUCAUGGAUUUAGCUUACGUGGCUUACCCAAUAAUUUGGAACUUGUUGUCUAUUUGGUGAAGCCCUACAACAAGUUACUGCUA